rnacentral:rRNA from 1 species
UACGUAGGGACCAAGUGUUGUUCGGAUUUACUGGGCGUAAAGGGCGCGUAGGCGGCGAUGUAAGUCACUUGUGAAAUCUCUGAGCUUAACUCAGAACGGCCAAGUGAUACUGCAUUGCUAGAGUGCAGAAAGGGCAAUCGGAAUUCUUGGUGUAGCGGUGAAAUGCGUAGAUAUCAAGAGGAACACCUGAGGCGAAGGCGGGUUGCUUGUCUGACACUGACGCUGAGGCGCGAAAGCCAGGGGAGCAAACGGG